rnacentral:lncRNA from 1 species
UCCUAUAUACCUACAUACACCUCGACUCUCCCAUAUCUUCGUGACUUUCGCCGACCACCUUGGUCAUACCCCAACUGCUUAUACAGCUUGGUCCAUCAACUACACGGACGGUCUGGAGCUACACCCCACGGGUGCCCAGCUCUUGCUGGUCCUUUUCCGCACAGUUCCAACUGCUUUGCGGCUUGUUCGUCCCUCUUAACGGUUGCUAAAGUACUCGGGUAGCACACGCCUUAAUCCGCAUGCUUGACCCUCAUGUGUUGCUUCCUGCUAAGCACGCUCGAGUCCACUCGGCAACACCCCAGCAGGAUCAAGUGCUUAAACGUAACAGGCUAACUACUCGGGAAAAUUACCUGACAUACAAGAGCAGUAUGCACAAGAGUUUGCUUCUACAACGAAUCAAACUUCCGAGUUACUCAACCAUUAAAUAUUCUACAUUAUGCUAUAUAAUGUUUGCAUUGUCUUUUUACAGCUCAGAACCUACUCAGCGUGCCUCCUGCCGCUUGGCCGACCUCUUUGGAUCAGGGUGGGAGGCAACUUGAUGCGCUUCCGCGACUCGGCCGGCUCCCAAGCUCGGGGGCUCAGGGCGGGAGGCAACUCAGCAUGCUUCCGCGAUUCAGCUGACCUCCUAGGCUCGGGGAUCGGGUGCAGGAGGUGACUCGGCGUGCUUCCGUGAUUCGGUUAGCUCCCAGGCUCGGGGGCUGGGCACCACAGACGGUUCACCGAGCCUCCUGCUGCUUAGCCGACCUCUCUAGAUUGGGGUAGGAGGCAACUCGGUGUACUUCCGUGACUCGGCCAGCUCCUAGGCUCGGAGGCUGGAUGCCAUAGACAACUCGGCGUGCCUUCUGCCACCAGACCGACCUCCCAGACUCAAAGGCUGGGUGUGGGAGGUGACUCGGCGUGCCUCCGUGGCUUCGCCAGUCCUCGCGCUCGGGGGCUGGGCGCCUACUUCGGGUCGGCGUGCCUUCAUGGCUCCGCUAGUCCUCACGCUCGAAGGCUGGGCGUAGGAUAUCACUUGAUGUGCGUCCAUGGCGUUUCACAAGACAAAGACUACAAGAUCAAGGAUUUUUCUUUGCGCAUUGCGCAACUACGAUGAAAGCACUCAGGCAAAGCUUAUCCAACUCGGCAUUCAUGUUGGGUGCCGUUCAACUCCACACCGCUCGGGGGCUUGACGGUUAUAGAUACCAGGAUACCCUCAUGGAGGGCCUAGCCGACUACUAAUGGGCCGGCCCGACUUGAUGAAGAAGGCAUAAGAUAGAGUCCGGCUAGAGCUCCCUACGUGUUGUAGUCCGACUAGAUCUCAUCUAUAGUAACCGAUUAGGGGUCCUGCCAUGUAACCCUACCCCCUCGGAGUAUAUAAGGGGAGGUAGGGGUACCCCUAGGAGGGGGACCGAUCCAAUCCCUCAACACAACCACCAACACCAGAGCGCAGGGCGCAAUACAAUCCUCCAAACAGGACGUAAGGUAUUACGCUAUACUAGCAGCCGGAACCUGUAUAAAUCUCUGUGUUUUGUGCCUUGCGUUACCAUCAAGUUCAUGGUCUUGCGAUCCUCCCUGCCUACAAAUCAACCAUCUGGGUACCUCUUAGGUGGACUGUCGGUCAUUAAAUCUGACAAUGACCUUGGCAUUACUGGGGAGACUAUAUCACAAUUUCAAUAAUUUCCAGACUAGGUAGAAUUUAUAGAUGAUGUUUGGUAGAGUCUAGGUAGUACAUGGAUAUCCG